GACCCCGUAGCUCAGUGGUAGAGCGUGAGAUUCCAGAGAUUGUUCUUCCUCAAGGUCAUCCGUUCAAUCCGGGUCGGGGUCA
rnacentral:tRNA from 1 species